rnacentral:rRNA from 1 species
UACGAAGGGAGCUAGCGUUGUUCGGAAUCACUGGGCGUAAAGCGCACGUAGGCGGAUGUGUCAGUCAGGGGUGAAAUCCCGGAGCUCAACUUCGGAACUGCCCCUUGAUACAGCACGUCUUGAGUCCGGAAGAGGUGGGUGGAAUUCCUAGUGUAGAGGUGAAAUUCGUAGAUAUUAGGAAGAACACCGGUGGCGAAGGCGGCCCACUGGUCCGGUACUGACGCUGAGGUGCGAAAGCGUGGGGAGCAAACAGG